rnacentral:misc_RNA from 1 species
GUAGGUGAACCUGCGGAAGGAUCAUUCAUAAUAAGUGUUUUAUGGCACUUUUUUAAAUCCACAUCCACCUUGUGUGCAAUGUCAGGGUUGAUUUUUCUCUCGAGAGGAUCAGCCCCAAACAUCAACUAUAUCUCAACUCUUUGUCUGAAAAAUAUUAUGAAUAAAACAAUUCAAAAUACAACUUUCAACAACGGAUCUCUUGGCUCUC